rnacentral:rRNA from 1 species
AAUCAAACCGGGAGAUAGCUGGUUCUCCCCGAAAGCUAUUUAGGUAGCGCCUCGUGAAUUCAUCUCCGGGGGUAGAGCACUGUUUCGGCUAGGGGGCCAUCCCGGCUUACCAACCCGAUGCAAACUGCGAAUACCGGAGAAUGUUAUCACGGGAGACACACGGCGGGUGCUAACGUCCGUCGUGAAGAGGGAAACAACCCAGACCGCCAGCUAAGGUCCCAAAGUCAUGGUUAAGUGGGAAACGAUGUGGGAAGGCCCAGACAGCCAGGAUGUUGGCUUAGAAGCAGCCAUCAUUUAAAGAAAGCGUAAUAGCUCACUGGUCGAGUCGGCCUGCGCGGAAGAUGUAACGGGGCUAAACCAUGCACCGAAGCUGCGGCAGCGACGCUGAUG